UUUGGGGGCUCUGGACGUGGUUUCAGGUAAGCACUGCACUGGGCAUUACCAACUAACAAGGAAGUGCUGGCUCCCCUAUCAGCAUCAUGCUUAAAAUCCAGUGUGAUGGCUGGGACGUGUGGGAUCUGUGCUGGUCAAGUACAGACGGAGACCAAAGGGUGAAACCUGUCUCUCCUUUUCUGGUUAUGGGUUUUCUGUUCCUCCUGCAUUUCAGGAGUGCCCCAAAAUGCAAGAUGGAACUAGCAGGAACUGCUCAGUGAUGUCACAGGUGGUGGUGGUGUUGCCAGAUGUUGCCCGAGGGCUGUAUUGUUCCUCUCUGGAUGCUGCUUCAAAGAAAAUAGAGCUCUGGCUUCUCCAAAGGCUUCUCUGUGCUACUGAUUCCUUGCUUUUUGCAAAUUAAUUGACCUCAGUUUCAAAGCAGAAGAUUGAAGCACUGAAAAGGUUGACAUUGGAAAAACCUUUUUCUCCUCAGCUCACUGUGAUGAAAUAGGCUUCAUCCUGCACUGGUGUUUCCUGUACCAAUUCACAUAACAAUGUGAGAUUGUUCAAACAAAGUGGUCUCUCUUGUUUCUGUUUCCCUUGUUCAGGAAGGGUUCC
rnacentral:lncRNA from 1 species